UACGAAGGGGGCUAGCGUUGUCCGGAUUUAUUGGGCGUAAAGAGCGUGUAGGCGGCCAGGUAGGUCCGCUGUGAAAACUCGAGGCUCAACCUCGAGAUGUCGGCGGAAACCAUCUGGCUAGAGUCCGGAAGAGGAGAGUGGAAUUCCUGGUGUAGCGGUGAAAUGCGCAGAUAUCAGGAAGAACACCCGUGGCGAAGGCGGCUCUCUGGGACGGUACUGACGCUGAGACGCGAAAGCGUGGGGAGCGAACAGG
rnacentral:rRNA from 1 species